UGUAAAUAGCUUGUUAAAAAUGAUAUAGGUAAAAGGAGGAAAGAAAAAUAAUUUUAAAGAAAAAUUGUGUUAGUAAUUUUUAAUGAAAGUAGGAUAAAGACUAGAGAGAAAAGUACUGUGAAGGAAAGCGAUAAGACUUAGUAUAGGAAAAGUAAACUUUUGUGCCUUGUGUAUCAGAAAAAAUUUAUAUAAUUUAAUCAGUCUAAAGGUCUCGAAAUAAAAUAUAGUAAUUUUUAUAAAAUUUUCUUUUUAGAAAAAAAGAAUUUAAUGUAAAAUUUAAAGUGAAACGCUAGUUGAGUUUUAUUAUAUCUAGUUUUUUUAAAAAUAAAUUGAAUUUAUUUUUUAUAGCUAUAAGAUAUAAAAUUUAAUGGCAAGAGGGAACAGCUUCUUGUGUAAAAUGUUGUAAAAUAGUUAAGUAAUAGGAUAUUUUAUAGAUUAGGCUUAAAAGUAGCCAUAUUUAAAAAGUGUUUUAACUAAAUUAUGGUUUAAAAAUAUUUAGGGUAACUUUUUCAAUGUAUAAAAAAAUUAUUUGAAAUGUAAAAGAAUAAAAUAUAAUGAUUUUAUUAGUAAAAUUUGCUAUGAAAAUGAGUGU
rnacentral:rRNA from 1 species